GACGAACGCUGGCGGCGUGCUUAACACAUGCAAGUGGGGCGACGAACCAGGCUUCGGCCUGGGGCAAAGCCGCGAACGGGUGAGUAACACGUGGGUAACCUGCCCCGAAGACCGGGACAACCCGGGGAAACCCGGGCUAAUACCGGAUGUGGUCAUCGUUCAUAAGGACGAUGAGCAAAGGAAGCUUCGGCCUCCGCUUCGGGAUGGGCCCGCGGCCCAUUAGCUUGUUGGUGAGGUAACGGCUCACCAAGGCUUCAUGGGUAGCUGGUCUGAGAGGACGAUCAGCCACACUGGGACUGAGACACGGCCCAGACUCCUACGGGAGGCAGCAGUGGGGAAUCUUGCGCAAUGCGCGAAAGCGUGACGCAGCAACGCCGCGUGGGGGAAGACGGCC
rnacentral:rRNA from 1 species